CCGCAUCAGCCUGUGCUCACCCCAAAGGGGCGUCUCUCUUCGUAGCCGAGGGGAGAGGGUCUCACCCCGAUAUAAAACCACGCAUAUGCAAGCUCAGAGCAUCAUUUUCCUGGAAACAUGUCUCCUGAGGACAGGCCAGGGCUGCCCAGGGAUGGGGCCAGGGAAGCCUCAGACGCCAGGCCAGCCCCGCUCGCUCCCCAGAUCGCUCGGCCAGUCACUACCCUGUGUACCAGAAGCAGCACCUCUUCAACAGCAACCCCCGUUGGGACUUCGGGGCCUUCAGGAGACUCGGCCACCUGGUGCGGGAGACGGGGCUCACCUUCUCCAGGUUUGCUCACCAGUUUCUAGAUCCGGGCACGUACGUGUUUCGCGACAACGGGCAGCCCGAGAGCAUGGCCGUGGUGCUGGUGAAGGCGAGGGGGGCGGCCUGUGAGCCAGGCCAGGCUCCUGUGCAGCCCUCCUCCCCCGAUCAGCUCGCCAGGCACGGGGUCCUCAGGCACCGCCUGCCCGACCUGGGCCCAGAUUGGGCAGCCAUCUCAG
ensembl:lncRNA